rnacentral:rRNA from 1 species
AUCAGGUAGGAACACCCGCUGAACUUAAGCAUAUCAAUAAGCGGAGGAAAAGAAAAUAACAAUGAUUCCCCUAGUAACUGCGAGUGAAGAGGGACAAGCUCAAAUUUUAAAUCUGUCGGGUUUUACCCGAUCGAGUUGCAAUUUGAAGAAGCGUUUUCUGCGUAUUUGGUCAGCCCAAGUCCUAUUGAAUGAGGCAUCAUGGAGGGUGAUAAUCCCGUCCGGUUGAUCAUUGCGUUUUAUGAUACGCUUUCUAAGAGUCAAGUUGUUUGGGAUUGCAGCUUAAAAUGGGAGGUAAAUUUCUCCUAAGGCUAAAUAACGGCGAGAGACCGAUAGCGAACAAGUACCGUGAGGGAAAGAUGAAAAGAACUUUGAAAAGAGAGUUAAACAGUACGUGAAAUUGUUGAAAGGGAAACGAUUGAAGCCAGUCGUACCUAUGGGUAAUCAGCCUUUUGGGUGUGAUUUUGUGGAGCGUGGAGAGUUAAACGCCUUCAUGCCUGCAUAUUCGUGCACUUUGGGUGUACUUGCCCGUGUGUAAGUUAACAUCAAUUUUGGUGGUCAUAAAAUGGCUGGAGGAAUGUAGCUUCGAUCUUGUAUUGAAGUGUUAUAACCUUCGGUAGAUGUGACGAUCGGGAUUGAGGAUUGCAACGGAUACCCUUCGGGGCUACCUGUCUGAUCUCUGAUUGUUGCUCUGGUGCCGAAAGCUUGCUUACGGUUAUCAAAGUCGAUGGUCAAUAGGUUAGAACGGGUUAAAUUCGUUAAGGAUGUUGACGUAAUGGCUUUAAACGACCCGUCUUGAAACACGGACCAAGGAGUCUAACAUAUAUGCGAGUGUU